rnacentral:misc_RNA from 1 species
UCCGGUUUGUCACCGGCGGUCUCCUUAGAGUUCCCACCAUUACGUGCUGGCAACUAAGGACAAGGGUUGCGCUCGUUGCGGGACUUAACCCAACAUCUCACGACACGAGCUGACGACAGCCAUGCAGCACCUGUGUUCCGAUUCCCGAAGGCACUCCCGCAUCUCUGCAGGAUUCCGGACAUGUCAAGGCCAGGUAAGGUGGGGAUGACGUAGCUAAGCCUUC